UACAGAGGUCUCAAGCGUUGUUCGGAUUCAUUGGGCGUAAAGGGUGCGUAGGCGGCGCGGUAAGUCGGGGUGUGAAAUCUCGGAGCUUAACUCCGAAACUGCAUUCGAUACUGCCGUGCUUGAGGACUGGAGAGGAGACUGGAAUUUACGGUGUAGCGGUGAAAUGCGUAGAUAUCGUAAGGAAGACCAGUGGCGAAGGCGACUUACUGGACACAUAUUGACGCUGAGGUGCGAAAGCGUGGGGAGCAAACAGG
rnacentral:rRNA from 1 species